UAGGGAAUCUUCGGCAAUGGACGAAAGUCUGACCGAGCAACGCCGCGUGAGUGAAGAAGGUUUUCGGAUCGUAAAACUCUGUUGUUAGAGAAGAACAAGGACGUUAGUAACUGAACGUCCCCUGACGGUAUCUAACCAGAAAGCCACGGCUAACUACGUGCCAGCAGCCGCGGUAAUACGUAGGUGGCAAGCGUUGUCCGGAUUUAUUGGGCGUAAAGCGAGCGCAGGCGGUUUCUUAAGUCUGAUGUGAAAGCCCCCGGCUCAACCGGGGAGGGUCAUUGGAAACUGGGAGACUUGAGUGCAGAAGAGGAGAGUGGAAUUCCAUGUGUAGCGGUGAAAUGCGUAGAUAUAUGGAAGAACACCAGUGGCGAAGGCGGCUCUCUGGUCUGUAACUGACGCUGAGGCUCGAAAGCGUGGGGAGCAAACAGG
rnacentral:rRNA from 2 species